rnacentral:rRNA from 1 species
UACGUAGGGGGCAAGCGUUGUUCGGAAUUACUGGGCGUAAAGGGCGCGUAGGCGGUCUGUUGCGUCGGCUGUGAAAACCCGGGGCUCAACCCCGGGCCUGCAGCCGAUACGGGCAGACUAGAGUUCGGCAGGGGAGACUGGAAUUCCUGGUGUAGCGGUGAAAUGCGCAGAUAUCAGGAGGAACACCGGUGGCGAAGGCGGGUCUCUGGGCCGAUACUGACGCUGAGGAGCGAAAGCGUGGGGAGCGAACAGG